rnacentral:tRNA from 1 species
AAAGCUUUAAGUUAUUUAAACUAGUAGCCUUCAAAGUUACCUAAAGAAGUUAUACUCUUCUAAGCUUUA